rnacentral:lncRNA from 10 species
UAUCAUGCAAGUAAAAAAAGAAAAUUUUCAUGGAAAGAUUCUAAAUGAUAAGCUGUUAGAUAGUGUAAUAAACUGAAUACAAAGCAGAGUAUAUACAUUUGCUUUUAGCAUUUUUGAGGAUUUUUGUUUUCUAGUAAAUUAGACAUCUUAUUAAAAUGCUUUGUUUUGUUUCAAUAUUGCUCUUUUCUUCUGAAAACAGUUACAAACUUAUAUUCAAACACCCUUACUCCUUAAACCUGUUAUAUCUUUAGACUAAUAGAUGUGUAUAUUUAACUCUAUGUAAGUCAAAACUAAAACUCUAUUGUGUGCUCUCAGGCAGAGGCCACGUGUUCAAAAAAUACAUAAAAAAUUUUUGAAAAUUAUUCAGGACUCAGAAAUAUAUGAUUUUAUUUACGCUUGUAUAUAAUUUUUAUGAUGACCAUAAAAAUAACCAUGUAGCCAAUAAUAAUUUAACUGUACAACUUAGAAUAACUAAGACUGUAGAAUUGAAUUGUUUGUAAUACAAAACAUAAAAGCCAGAGGUUAUAGCUACCUUAUUUAUCACAAUGUGAUCAUUAUAUAAUGUAUGACUGUAUUAAAAUACGCCAUAUAUGACAUAAAUAUAUACACAUAUUAUGUAAACACAAAAACUAAGAAAAAUAAAUUUAAAUGUAAAAAAAUUUAACCUACAGGAACCAUAUUCUUUAACUUAUUUGUAGUUUAAAGCCACUAAAAAAGAAGAAUACUAGAGAUGUUAGUCUAUUAUGUUACCAAAUAGUGUAUUGUAACCAUCUUUUAAAUAUACCCUUGAGUAAGGUGGAAUAGGUUAAAACUAGUGGCAUAAUAACACUUUAUUGAAUGUAUAACAGUAUUUAACAUUAUAAAUGUUGAAUUGAAAAAUUAACACAAUCCAAAACUUUAAAAAAAAGUGGUUUUAUCACAUAAAAGUACAAUUAGUAAAAUGACAUACUAAUUAUUUUGAUUUAAUUUUAACUAUAAGAAUGAUUUUCUCUCAUAAUAACGCAUUAGAAUAUUACUUAGGGCUGGGCACAGUAGCUCACACCUAUAAUCACAGCACUUUGAGAAGCCAAGGCAGGCAGAUCACUUGAGGUCAAGAGUUCAAGAACAGCCUGGCCAACAUGGUGAAACCUUGUUUUACUAAAAUAGAAAUAUUAGCUGGAUGUGGUCAGGGGCAACUGUAAUCUCAGCUACUUGGGAGGUGGAGACAGGAGCAUAGCUUGAACCUGGGAGGAGGAGCUUAUAGUGAGCCGAGAUUAUGCCACUGCACUCCAGCCUGGGCAACAGAGUGAGAUUCCCUCUCAAAAAAAAAAAAAAAAAAAAAAAAAAAAGAAUAUUACUCGGAAUGCCCUACAUCACUCAAUUCUGUAAGUUAACCACAAACAGCCUUUCCACUUAAAUUUUCAUCAUGCAUCUUACAUUUCAAUGUCCUUAGUCAUCCAUAAGGUAAUAAAUAACGACCGCCUAAUAAAGUCUCCCAAAUCUUUGAUGCAGAAUUGAUCACAUUUUUUUUACAUGUGAAUACAACAGAAAUGAAAAAAAGGCGUGAAGUAAUUUAAGAGUUGAAUUCCAUCAUUAUUCAGUUUCCAAAUAAGCUGUUUUUUUUUUCUUUUGAGACAGAGUCUUGCUCUGUCACCCAGGCUGCAAUGCAGUAGCAGCAUCUCAGCUUACUGCAACCUCUGGCUCCCAGGUUCAAGUGAUUCUCAUGCCUCAGCCUCCCAAGUAGCCGGGACUACAGAUGUACACCACCAUGCUUCGCUAAUUUUUUUUAUUUCCUUUUAGUAGACAUGGGGUUUCACCAAGUUGGCCAGGCUGGUCUUGAACUCAGGUGAUCUACCCACCUCGGCAUCCCAAAGUGUUGGCCUUACAGAUGUAAGCCACUGUGUCUGACAAAAAAAAAUCUGUAUUUUCAAGACAAAAGUGUACUUUAAAUGAAAUUAUAACUCUUCAAAGAUCUACUUCUUUUAAAGUUACAUACAAAUAAUUUUUCUUUUUACCAACUUUAGUUUUGGAUUUUUUCCUAUACUCAGCAAUCUGAUUAAGUGUAAUGUCUGAAGUUUGAGACAGAUAUUUCUACUGUGAAUUCUCUGAUAUUUACUUAAUUUUGGAUUAAAAUUUUUUAAUAUUUACUUCAUCUGCAAACAUAUAUUUUAGUAUAAACUUUCGUGUUUUAUAAUCUGUAGUUUUUGAAAAAAUGUUUUUCCAAAUUCAUUAAAUUUGCAGGGUUAUUCUUCAAUAUAAAUUCCCUGAUGUUGAGCAAAGUUGGAACAACUACCUCAGGGUUUUCCUGUAGUACAAAAUGUGUACAAUAAAACCUGUGAUACACGUAAAGGUACUACAACUCUCUUUAUAUUUAUAAUGUGUUUCCUCAAAAUAAAUAUUCUUCUGUACUUUAAGGGCUUAUAUUUUCUGAAAGAUCUAUUGACAGCAACUGCACUUUUAAUGCUUUUAUUUAGUAUGAACUCUCUGAUGCUGAAUAAGAUGUGAGAAGAUAUUAAUGACAUUCACAUUUUUUCCCCUAGACAGUCUCCCUCUGUUGCCCAGGCUAGUGUAAAUGCUUUCCUUUGCAAUUAGGCAUGAGCAUUGGUUAAAUGUUUUGCCACAUUGUUUAUUCUAGUAGUUUUCUCCAGUAUGAGAUAUCUUACCUACAAUCAAGUGUGACAGCCAUUUAAAGGCUUUGUCACAUUCUUCACAUUUCUAGGAUUUCUCACCAGUAUGAUUUCUUUUAUAUUCAGAAAAGUUUCAGGUGUUGCCAAAAGCCUUGUCACAUCUUUCAGGUUUGCAGUUUCUCUCUAGUAUGAAUUAGCUUAUGUCUGUUAAGAAUUGAGGAUCUGUUAGAGGCUUUCCCACAUUCUUCACACGUGUAUGGUUUCUCUCCAGUAUGAGUUGUCUUGUACGUAGUAAGCCUUAAGGACUGAUUAAAGGCUUUGCCACAUUCCACACAAUUGUAGGAAUUCCCUCCAGUAUGAAUUACCUUAUGUUUAGUAAGGAUUGAGGAACAGUUAAAAAAUUUGCCACAUUCUUCACAUUUGUAGGGUUUCCCUCCUGUAUAAAUACCCUUAUGUUCAGUAAGGGUUAAGAACUAAUUGAAAGCUUUGCCACAUUUUUCACAUUUGUAGGGUUUUUCCUCCAGUAUGAAUUCUCUUAUGAGUAGUAAGGUGUGAGGAUUGGUUGAAGUCUUUACCACAUUCUUCACAUUUGUAGAAUUUCUUUCCAGCAUGAAUUUUCUUAUGUUUGUUAAGGACUGAGACCCAGCUAAAGGCUUUGCCACAUUCUUCACAUUUGUAGGGUUUCUCUCCAGUAUGAAUUCUCUUAUGUUCACUAAGUCUUGAGGACCAGAUGAAGGCUUUGCCACAUUCUUCACAUUUGUAUUGUUUCUCUCCAGUAUGAAUUACCUUAUGUUUAGUAAGGUUUGCAACCUUACUGAAGGCUUUGCCACAUUCUUCACAUUUGUAGGGUUUCUCUCCAGUAUGAAUUCUCUUAUGUUCCAUAAGGUUUGAGGACCACUUAAAGGCUUUGCCACAUUCUUCACAUUUGUAGAGUUUCUCUCCAGCAUGAAUUGCCUUAUGUGUAGUAAGGCUUGAGGACCAGCUGAAGACUUUGCCACAUUCUUCACAUUUGUAGUGUUUCUCUCCAGUAUGAAUUACUUUAUGUUUAGUAAGGCUCGAAAAUGUAGUAAAGGCUUUGCCACAUUCUUCACAUUUGUAGGGUUUCUCUCCAGUAUGAAUUAUCUUAUGUUUAGUAAGUGUUGAGGACCACUUAAAGGUUUUGCCACAUUCUUCACAUUUGUAAGGUUUGUCUCCAGCAUGAAUUCUCUUGUGUUCAGUAAGGCUUGAGGGCCAGCUGAAGGCUUUGCCACAUUCUUCACAUUUGUAGGGUUUCUCUCCAGUAUGAAUUACCUUAUGUUUAGUAAGGGUUGAGAAGUUACCAAAGGCUUUGCCACAUUCUUCACAUUUGCAGGGCUUCUCUCCAGUAUGAAUUCUCUUAUGUUCCAUAAGGUUUGAGGACCGGUUGAAAGCUUUGCCACAUUCUUCACAUUUGUAGGGUUUCUCUCCAGCAUGAAUUGUCUUAUGUGCAGUAAGGGUUGAGGCCUUACUAAAGGCUUUGCCACAUUCUUCACAUUUGUAGGGUUUCUCUCCAGCAUGACUUCUCUUAUGUUCAAUAAGGCUUGAGGACCGGGUGAAGGCUUUGCCACAUUCUUCACAUUUGUAAUGUUUCUCUCCAGUAUGAAUUACCUUAUGCUUAGUAAGGAUUGAGAACUUACUAAAGGCUUUGCCACAUUCUUCACAUUUGCAGGGUUUCUCUCCAGUAUGAAUUCUCUUAUAAGUAAGGGCUGAGGACCAGUUAAAGGCUUUGCCAUGUUCUUCACUUUUGUAGGAAUUCUCUCUAGUAUAAAUUCUUUUAUGUUGAGAUAGGUGUGAAAGCAUGCAAAAUGAUCUGACAUAUUCUUUACAUUUCAAAAGUUUCUUUCCAGUAUGCCUUAUCUUAUGUCUUUUUGAAUUUGAACAUUUAUGAAAGAUGUUUGCAUAUUUGCCACAUUGAAAUACUUUGCUUUGUGUAGUUGUCAAACUCUGGUUAAGCUUAUUAUAACCUUUUUUGUGCACCUUACACUCAUCCACAUUGGUACAACCAAUUUUUAACUGUAAAUUCUCAUGUCCACAUUUUUCAUAUCUUCUCAAUAUCACUUUUUGGAAAGAAUCUUCUCUGCCCUGCUCUGGCCAAAGGUCUUGAGCAAAAUGAGAACAUAUACUCUGUAAUCAUCCCAAACUCCUCCCAGCCACAGUCUGUGAGAGGUCUUGGGUCUUCCAGAGGCCUGGAGAGUGAUACCCAUUUAGAGCAAUGCUGGCAGGCCUGCAGACCUUGGUCCCAAUAGCAGUUCCAAGACUCAGUUCCAGCUUCCUAAGCCACAGUUCAUGGCCAGUUCUGCCUGGCGGUUCUUUCACCAGCUCAUGUCUCUUCAUAUUCCAGGGCUCUUUUCCUUGCUCCAGAAAAAUGAUCAGGUCUGGCUUAGGGGCAGCAAUACCU